rnacentral:sRNA from 1 species
AGCUGUGAGAACAGUGUGCAUGGUGCAUCUGUGGCCCUGCUGGCUGCCAGGUGUCUGGAGGCCUGUGUGCCCUCUCUGCCCCUCACGCCAUGUGCCUCCCUCCUGAGGCUGUGGGCUGCAUCCAAGAGUACGACCUUCCUAGACAGAGGAGGGCAGCUCUCCAGGGAAAGAAACAGGAGGCACUUCCUUCUCCCACUAGAACUUACCACCACAGGUUUAAAAUGCUGUAUGUGGGGGUGUGAGUGUGCAUGUGUGUGUGUGCAUGUUUAGGUGGUGAGGCCAGUGUAG